GCAUUGUAUGUUUGGAAUUCCAAAAAGGUUUUGGUAACAUCUCAGCGAUCAUUAGCUCAGAUCUUGGACUAAAGAUCAGAGGCAGAACAAAGAGACCUGCUCUAGCUUGCCUAUUCUUGGGUUCCACACUGGCUUUGCCUGGACUUCCAAGCUGAGAGUAUCUCCCUGCUCCAGCAUCAUCCUACCACAACUUCAUCAUGAAAUGGAAGAAGGAGAGCAGAGAGAGAAGAAAGAUAAAAACUACCCUCAUCAUGUCUUGAUCUCACAGAAUUUGACAGCUGAAGUACAGGAAAGAAUUAAGGUACUUAACUCCAACACAUUUUUCUCUCCUUAAUUUGAGCCCCCAAUUGAGUCAGAAUGCUACUGACGCAAGUUUCCACAGCCUCUCAAGGAAAAACCUUAUUGUGUUCAAAUGACACUUUGAAUGACAGGCUCACAGACAUUAUUUAUAAGGUUCAUUCAUUUGCUUAUCCAUUCAAUUAACUAUUAAAUAUCCAAAGCCCUAUGCUAGGUACUGGGGGAAUUGAAAUAAAU
rnacentral:lncRNA from 1 species